GGGUGAACCAGGAGAGAAAGGAGAUCCAGGUUUGUCAGGCGUUAAUGGACAAGAUGGUGUGAAAGGUGACUUGGGUCCUCGUGGUCCACCUGGCCCAAAAGGAGAAAAGGGAGAUAUGGGACCACCAGGACCACCAACACUAACUGGCUCCCUGGGGAUACAAGGCCCCCAAGGUCCACCUGGAAAAGAAGGUCAGAGGGGAAGACGAGGAAAACCAGGGCCUCCAGGAAAACCAGGGCCUCCAGGACCACCUG